GGUUAAAAAGCUCGUAGUUGGAUUUCUGCCGAGGACGACCGGUCCGCCCUCUGGGUGAGUAUCUGGCUCGGCCUGGGCAUCUUCUUGGAGAACGUAGCUGCACUUGACUGUGUGGUGCGGUAUCCAGGACUUUUACUUUGAGGAAAUCAGAGUGUUUCAAGCAGGCAUACGCCUUGAAUACAUUAGCAUGGAAUAAUAAGAUAGGACCUCGGUUCUAUUUUGUUGGUUUCUAGAGCUGAGGUAAUGAUUAAUAGGGAUAGUUGGGGGCAUUCGUAUUUAACUGUCAGAGGUGAAAUUCUUGGAUUUGUUAGAGACGGACUACUGCGAAAGCAUUUGCCAAGGAUGUUUUCAUUGAUCAAGAACGAAAGUUAGGGGAUCGAAGACGAUCAGAUACCGUCCUAGUCUUAACCAUAAACCAUGCCGACUAGAGAUUGGAGGUCGUUAUUUGUACGACUCCUUCAGCACCUUAUGAGAAAUCAAAGUCUUUGGGUUCCGGGGGGAGUAUGGUCGCAAGGCUGAAACUUAAAGGAAUUGACGGAAGGGCACCACCAGGAGUGGAGCCUGCGGCUUAAUUUGACUCAACACGGGGAAACUUACCAGGUCCAGACAUAGUAAGGAUUGACAGAUUGAUAGCUCUU
rnacentral:rRNA from 1 species